GGAUUGUGGCUCAGUGGUACAGUGCUUGCCUAGCAUGUGUGAGGCACUGGGUUUGAUCCUCAGCACCA
rnacentral:tRNA from 1 species